UACCUGGUUGAUCCUGCCAGUAGUCAUAUGCUUGUCUCAAAGAUUAAGCCAUGCAAGUCUAAGUACGAGCUCUCGUACAGUGAAACUGCGAAUGGCUCAUUAAAUCAGUUAUGGUUCAUUUGAUCGUACAGUUUACUUGGAUAACUGUGGUAAUUCUAGAGCUAAUACAUGCGAGAAGCGCCGACCUCGCGGGAGGCGUGCAUUUAUCAGACCAAAAACCGGCCGCGUCUUCGGGCGCGUUCGCCUUGGUGACUCUGGAUAACUUUGCGGAUCGCACGGUCUAGCACCGGCGACGGAUCAUUCAAGUGUCUGCCCUAUCAACUUUCGUCGGUACGGUAUUUGCCUACCGAGGUUCUUACGGGUGACGGGGAAUCAGGGUUCGAUUCCGGAGAAGGAGCCUGAGAAACGGCU
rnacentral:ncRNA from 1 species